rnacentral:sRNA from 1 species
UCGCCAAUAAGUUAGAAAUUUCCAUAGG